AUACGUAUGUCGCAAGCGUUAUCCGGAUUUAUUGGGCGUAAAGCGCGUCUAGGCGGCUUAGUAAGUCUGAUGUGAAAAUGCGGGGCUCAACCCCGUAUUGCGUUGUAAACUGCUAAACUAGAGUACUGGAGAGGUAGGCGGAACUACAAGUGUAGAGGUGAAAUUCGUAGAUAUUUGUAGGAAUUCUGAUGGGGAAGCCAGCAUACUAGACAGAGACUGUCCCUAAGGCGCGAAAGCUUGGGUAGAAAACAGGAUGAGAUACCCUGGUAGUCAACGCCGUAAACGGUGAUUACUAGGUGUUGGGGGUCGAACCUCAGCGCCCAAGCUAACGCGAGAAGUAAUCCGCCUGGGGAGUACGUUCGCAAGUAUGAAACUCAAAGGAAUUGACGGGG
rnacentral:rRNA from 1 species